UAGCUUGCUCCUUGGGUGACGAGUGGCGGACGGGUGAGUAAUGUCUGGGAAACUGCCCGAUGGAGGGGGAUAACUACUGGAAACGGUAGCUAAUACCGCAUAACGUCGCAAGACCAAAGAGGGGGACCUUCGGGCCUCUUGCCAUCGGAUGUGCCCAGAUGGGAUUAGCUAGUAGGUGGGGUAACGGCUCACCUAGGCGACGAUCCCUAGCUGGUCUGAGAGGAUGACCAGCCACACUGGAACUGAGACACGGUCCAGACUCCUACGGGAGGCAGCAGUGGGGAAUAUUGCACAAUGGGCGCAAGCCUGAUGCAGCCAUGCCGCGUGUAUGAAGAAGGCCUUCGGGUUGUAAAGUACUUUCAGCGAGGAGGAAGGUGUUGUGGUUAAUAACCGCAGCAAUUGACGUUACUCGCAGAAGAAGCACCGGCUAACUCCGUGCCAGCAGCCGCGGUAAUACGGAGGGUGCAAGCGUUAAUCGGAAUUACUGGGCGUAAAGCGCACGCAGGCGGUCUGUCAAGUCGGAUGUGAAAUCCCCGGGCUCAACCUGGGAACUGCAUCCGAAACUGGCAGGCUAGAGUCUUGUAGAGGGGGGUAGAAUUCCAGGUGUAGCGGUGAAAUGCGUAGAGAUCUGGAGGAAUACCGGUGGCGAAGGCGGCCCCCUGGACAAAGACUGACGCUCAGGUGCGAAAGCGUGGGGAGCAAACAGGAUUAGAUACCCUAGUAGUCCACGCCGUAAACGAUGUCGACUUGGAGGUUGUGCCCUUGAGGCGUGGCUUCCGGAGCUAACGCGUUAAGUCGACC
rnacentral:rRNA from 1 species